AAAAAACAAAAGAACAGAGGAAAGUAUAGUUUAGUUGUUGUCUCGAAGCUUCCAUGGCUUGUUGAGCUUCUCUUCUUCAAUGCCCGAGUAAUGAAACUCCAAUGCGAAGAUGUUGAUCUGAUGCUUCAAGGUUCCACAUCAAGACAUCCGAAUAAGCUCUAACCUGAUGUUAUGGUAAUCGAUCCCAAACAUGAAAAUUUCUUCAAAGUAUAGAUUUAUACAGUCAAAUCUAUCUACUCAAGGUUGACCCUCACAAAGAAGUUAAUACCACUGUCUAACUUCAGGAGAUGGAAAUUCAGUCAAAUAGGUUUGGAAAGAAUAUAUCUCUGACUACUAAACUGCCUUGCAACAUUACUCUUCAAAGGCUACAACAUUUAUUUCAAGCAAAUCCGGUCCAAAUGAAAAAAAUUAUUGACACAAGGUGUCUGACACAAGGUUGAGUUUCAUUAAUGUAACAUCCCGUAGUUAUAACACUCGAAUAACGCAUUCAAAACGAACCUUAGGACCCCAUUUUGAUGGUAGACAAUGUUUAGAUGUUGCGGGUUGUCUUGGGGUGCUUUUAGGCCUUAAUAGCGGGUGUGCGUCGUGAUUUUGACCCAUCACAAAGGCCUUGCAUCGUGGAACAAACGCAAACAGCCACUAGAUGGAGUUGGCUUUUGGCAUGCGCUGCCAACCCUGAGGCUGACUUUGGUUGUGUGCCGCCAAUCCUAAGGUGGGCUUUGGCUGUGUGCCGCAAGGCAAAAGCCAAGUAUCAUAAGUUGCUUAGUUUUCUUCUAUUUUAAGGGCGUUGAAGUCUUUUCACACCCUAUAACCAUUCCUAAUCUUAUAUGGACGAAAUUAAUCUCUUAACAUACGUUAUUUUCACUUCUCAAAUAUCUAAUUAUCACUCCAUAAGCGAGACAGGAAAGAAUACCUAGGGUUGAGGAUUUUGAGUUCAAGAGGGUAAAUUACUCUACGUUUUUGUCCAUUUCAAGGUAUGUGGGACUAUCCUAAAACUCAUGGGCAUAAUCUUAUCGUUUAAACAAAUUUUAAAGGUGCAUGAUUACAUAUAUGAAACGGGUUUUUGAAUUGUUGAAGAGUAUGUAUUGUAAAUCCUGUUUUAUGAUGAAAUCUUGUAUAAACUAUGAGGUUCUUUUUUUGGCUAAACUUGAAUUGUUUUCAUUUGUACAUGGGUUAUGAGUUUUGAAAAUUGACAUGAGAGCAUACCUUACGAAAUUCCCUCUCUUAUUGUGAAUUCCAUUGCAUUAACAUGUUGUGGGUUGUUCAAUUGCAUGAUUAAAUAGCUUGAGUUAAAUGUUACAUUACCAAUUGUUGAUUUGCAGUGCUUUAUGAUUCUAUGAGAGGGUAUUUAUGAAUUUGUAAAUGCUUUACAUCCUAAUGGGAAAUUUCAUGUGUUUGAUGAUAGAAAUGACUACCCUAUGUUGAGGUACUAAAAAGGGAGUAUUUUGCAUGAGUUUUACAUGUUUUGAAAUAAGAACUCUCUUACAUUAAUUAAAUGUUUUGGUGGUCCAAUAACAUUCUUUUUGAUUGAAAAGACUAAGAUAUGAUAUACUAUGAUAUGGCAUAUACGACUUGCAAGUCUUGGUAUGACGAUACUAAAACAGAUAAAUGCUAUGGAAGAUUCAAAAUAGAACAAACUCCAGACUUCAGAUCAGAAUUUCAGUAAGAUGCAUGUUUUAAAAGGCUAAAAAUAGAUUGUAAGAGAAUUUAGAUGGUUAUACGAAGAAGGCACGGGUUCAGCUGACUCAUUUCCCAAAAUCGUAUUUUGCUGACGCGAGUCAUUAUAUCCUGAAAUAUGGAUAUUAUACGCUGGACAUGUGUCUUUCGGCGUAUCAGAAUAAGAGACUCCAGCCUUUGCGACAAACUUAGGUUGGGGGUUUGGCCUCCGAUUUAAUGGUGGACCCAUAUAGCCCAUGGGUAAUUAGAGUUGUAGGGUGUACCAUCUAGCUCAGAACUAAAGUAAAGACUUGAGUUGAUGUUUUACAAGCACGAGUGGAUGUUUUUCAUUGAUUAUGCCCAUAUGUUUCUAUAUAUAUUAUGAUAAAUUAUUUUCAGAAGGGCUCACUUAUUUUACAUGAAGUAUGUGUUAUUUUUGGAUUGUUAUACAUACUAGUACUUUCGAGUAUUGACCCCCUAUCCACAGGUUCAGAGGCUCAGUCCCGGGGUCCAGCUCAGUACUAGAUUAUUCCCAUACUUUCAGAACUUGGUGAGCCUCCUUUACACCGAAAGGCAUUCUAUUUAGAUGUAAUCUCAGUCAGUUUUAUGGUCCUGCCGGGGGCUUUGUCUCGGUUUAGUCAAAGUAGUGUUUAUUCUUUCAAUUUAGUAGAGGCUUUGUAGACUAGUGUAACAUGGAAUUUACAUUGUGAUAACAACUUCAUUGAUUGUAUGUUAGAGGGUACUUGUUAUCAAAUGCCUUAUAAUUUAAGAUGUUUAUUUGCUACUA